rnacentral:rRNA from 1 species
UACGUAGGUGGCAAGCGUUGUCCGGAUUUAUUGGGUUUAAAGGGUGCGUAGGCGGUCCUAUAAGUCAGUGCUGAAAUAUCCCGGCUUAACCGGGAGGGUGGCAUUGAUACUGCAGGACUUGAGUAAAGUUGAGGUUGGCGGAAUUGACGGUGUAGCGGUGAAAUGCUUAGAUAUCGAGAGGAACACCUGCGGCGAAGGCGGGUAGCUGGGCCGACACUGACGCUGAGGCGCGAAAGCCAGGGGAGCGAACGGG